rnacentral:lncRNA from 1 species
CCCCCCCCCCCCCCUCCUCUUUCUGUAUCUUCAUCUUUCCUUUUGCCCCCAUACACCCCCAAGUAAAUCCUUUUGCUCUCCUUCAUUCUGUUCUCUUCACAUGGUUAUCUUUUCACGCUAUUGUGCUUGCUGAUUUACUGUUUAAAUUUACUGCAUCUUGUAUUAAAUUUCUGCACAUAAACUUCUUUGUCUCCUGAGUUUUACUUGUAAGCCAACAUCAAACCCUUCUGGUUGCCAUUAGACAUUAGUAUUACUGCUUCUAGUACUCCAACAUCUCCUUAAUUUGUGGGAAAUGUUUAAUUGAACUCUUGAUUGCCCGUAUUCUUCAAAUCUGGUAAUUUCUGUCUACUUCUGAAAUAGGACAGCCAUGACUAAGGUAAUGCUAAACCCUCAUUUUUCCUGAACUUGAGGUCCCCCCAUGCGCAUGCAAGCUAAUCACAAUUUGUCUUGGAACACAAUGGUUCUCCAAUUCUUUUUAAAUGCAAUUUUGAAGAAUGUGUUCCAGAUAUGGGGGAUAAGUCUAGUAAUGUAUGGCUCCCCAUUACAAAAAAUGAUCUUUUUGUUAUGCUCAUUUACUGUACUUAUUCUCCUCCUUUUUUAAAGAAAGGAAGAAUGAUGGGAAUGCCACCUUUAGGGUUCAAACAUAGAGCAAACU